UGGGGAAUAUUGCACAAUGGGGGAAACCCUGAUGCAGCGACGCCGCGUGAGCGAAGAAGGCUUUCGAGUCGUAAAGCUCUGUCCUAUGAGAAGAUAAUGACGGUAUCAUAGGAGGAAGCCCUGGCUAAAUACGUGCCAGCAGCCGCGGUAAUACGUAUGGGGCGAGCGUUGUCCGGAAUUAUUGGGCGUAAAGGGUACGUAGGUGGUUUUUUAAGUCAGGUGUCAAAGCGUGGAGCUUAACUCCAUUAAGCACUUGAAACUGAAAGACUUGAGUGAAGGAGAGGAAAGUGGAAUUCCUAGUGUAGCGGUGAAAUGCGUAGAUAUUAGGAGGAAUACCGGUGGCGAAGGCGACUUUCUGGCCUGCAACUGACACUGAGGCGCGAAAGCGUGGGGAGCAAACAGG
rnacentral:rRNA from 1 species